rnacentral:rRNA from 1 species
AUACGGAGGGUGCAAGCGUUACUCGGAAUCACUGGGCGUAAAGCGCGCGCAGGCGGUCUUUUAAGUUGGAUGUGAAAGCCUACGGCUCAACCGUAGAACUGCAUCCAAAACUAUUAGACUAGAGUGUGGGAGAGGAAGAUGGAAUUAGUUGUGUAGGGGUAAAAUCCGUAGAGAUAACUAGGAAUACCAAAAGCGAAGGCAAUCUUCUGGAACACUACUGACGCUGAGGCGCGAAAGCGUGGAAAGCAAACAGGAUUAGAUACCCUAGUAGUCC